GAGUAAUAAGAAUAGUUUUUUAUUGAUUCAAAUUACCAUAUUGCCCCUCAUUUUCAUCUCCUUUCCAAACAAGAGAAAUUAGGAUGUUCUCCCAUUUUCUCUUUCUCCCUUCAAUUUCACCCCUUUCCAGAUAGGCUCUUUAUAUUGCUUAAAAAGAGAAUGGAAAAAAUAGUAAAGAAUAGGAGGUGGAGGGAGAAAUCAGAAUUUUCACUGAAUUCAAAUGCACAAUUUAAGAUCAAUCAAUAAUGAGAUAGUUGCGUAAUAUGCAACACAGGUCUCACAUUAUUUUUGGUGUUUAUGCAAAUUAAUGACUGGAGAUAUCUUGGUUUUGGAGAAUUCAUUUGGAGCUUUUGUCCAAUGCCCAAUCGAGGAUUCUGGAAUAGGGGAUAGUUUUGAGUUCUAGUUAACAAAACAUAUUUUUCUGAAAAAGAGUGGCUAGAAAGAGGUAGUUGAUAUUGACAAUGGAAAUUUGUGUCCUUGACCCAAUUUGGCAUAUUCAUGUCAUUUAAAUAUGUACAUUCUAUCAUCUGGAAAUACUUUGAAAAGUGAAGCAUAUGAUUUAUUCUUCUUUUCUUUUGUUUUUAGUCUUAUUUUUUUCAUUCUCCUUUAGAAGUAGUGGAAUUGUGGAAAGAGUACUUGUGGAAACUGGCUAGCAAAAGGCAAUAAUAAAGGCCUGAAUUUCUUGCUUGAGCCUUGAUGUGUAUACAUAGAUUUUAGUGUCUCUUUUUAUCUAUAGUUAAUAAAUACAGCUUAAGCAUUUUUUUGAAUGCUAAUCUUGUUGAUUUUACUGAGUAUCUCAUGAAAAUGAAAUAAGCAUUUGCAUUGUUUUUGCAGUUACUUUUGUUACCUCAA
rnacentral:misc_RNA from 1 species